rnacentral:rRNA from 1 species
UUGCUGGAGAUACUAUUAGACUUGAGACCGGGAGAGGUUAGAGGUACUCCCAGGGUAGAGGUGAAAUUCUGUAAUCCUGGGAGGACCGCCUGUUGCGAAGGCGUCUAACUGGAACGGUUCUGACGGUGAGGGACGAAAGUUAGGGGCGCGAACCGGAUUAGAUACCCGGGUAGUCCUAACUGUAAACGAUGCGGACUUGGUGUUGGGUGGCUUUGAGCUGCUCCAGUGCCCGAAGGGAAGCUGUUAAGUCCGCCGCCUGGGAAGUACGGUCGCAAGACUGAAACUUAAGGAAUUGGCGGGGGAGCACCACAACGCGUGGAGCCUGCCGGUUUAAUUGGAUUCAACGCCGGACAUCUCACCAGAGGCGACAGCUGUAUGAUAGCCAGGUUGAUGACUUUGCUUGACUAGCUGAGAGGAGGUGCAUGG